rnacentral:rRNA from 1 species
UACGUAGGUGGCAAGCGUUAUCCGGAAUUAUUGGGCGUAAAGCGCACGUAGGCGGCAUUGCAAGUCCCAUGUGAAAGCCCACGGCUUAACCGUGGAAGUGCAUGGGAAACUGCAGUGCUUGAGUACUUAAGAGGAUCGCGGAAUUCCCGGUGUAGAGGUGAAAUUCGUAGAUAUCGGGAGGAACACCUGUGGCGAAGGCGGCUACCUGGACCAGCACUGACACUGAGGCACGAAAGCGUGGGGAGCAAACAGG